rnacentral:tRNA from 1 species
GGUCGUAUGGAGUAGUGGUCAACUUAGGAGAUUUUGAAACAGGCGACGAGCAUCGUUGCCUUUCCUUUAAAAAUUCUCUUGCCCCGGGUUCGAAUCCCGGUAUGACCU